ensembl:lncRNA
GUAGGAGGCGGAGGGUGACCAGGAGACCAACCUUCGGCGCAACUGGUCGGGCGCAGCCAAUUACCCGGUCUGCCGCCCUGGCAGGUCACCUAAACUCUCAGCCCCUCCGUGUCCUUAUAUCUAAAAUGUGGAUGGUAAUAGAGUCCACCUCCCAGCGUUAUAUAAGGAUGAGACCUCGAGAAGAAACAGGAUAGGGAAACCGAGGGCCAGCAUCGCCUCGAGGUCCCCCAGUGUCUGUGCAGAGAGGGUCUGUCAGCAGCUCAAAUGCCUUUCACACUGAUGGAGACCUGGCCCCUUAGCUGGACAGAGUCCAAUGUCCAAGAGUGACUGGGCUGGCAAGGGGCUCCUCCAAAGGGCACUCAGAGGGAUGAUCAGACACAGUGCUGGCUGCUUGAGGCAGAAUAGAAAUGUCAACUAGAGAGUCUUCUGACUUCCCUGGGAAGAUGGUGACAACAUUGUGAAUAUGGACUUGGCAACGUUGUGGGUGGGGAGCAUCUUGUCACGAAAAGGGAUCAAGUAGGGGGCUUGAAUACAGAGUCUGGAGCUUUGCCCUGCUGAAGCCUGAACUGUGUUUGUGGGAUGAUGGACUGUGGCAGGCUGGGCUGGAGUGAUGCUUUGGGGUAGAGAUCACAGUUGGAGAGGAG